rnacentral:rRNA from 1 species
CCUACGGGGGGCAGCAGUGAGGAAUAUUGGUCAAUGGGCGCGAGCCUGAACCAGCCAAGCAGCGUGAAGGAUGACUGCACUGCGGGUUGUAAACUUCUUUUGUCAAGGAAUAAAGAGUGGCACGUGUGCCUGGUUGAGUGUACUUUAUGAAUAAGCAUCGGCUAACUCCGUGCCAGCAGCCGCGGUAAUACGGAGGAUCCGAGCGUUAUCCGGAUUUAUUGGGUUUAAAGGGAGCGUAGAUGGGUUGUUAAGUCAGUUGUGAAAGUUUGGGGCUCAACCGGAAAACUGCAAUUGAUACUGGCAGCCUUGAGUACAGGUGAGGUAGGCGGAAUUCGUGGUGUAGCGGUGAAAUGCUUAGAUAUCACGAAGAACUCCGAUUGCGAAGGCAGCCUACUAAACUGCCACUGACAUUGAGGCUCGAAAGUGUGGGUAUCAAACAGGAUUAGAUACCCUUGUAGUC